GAAGUGUUUGCGUUGCUGUGCGCGCACUGAACUGCGCGUCUGGCAGAGAGGGCGCGCGGAAACGGUGCGAGAGGAGGAGGAGGAGGAGGAGGAGGCGCGUCAGGUGAUCAGAUAAAGAGGGAAUCGUUAUAGAGGUUGGACUGUAGUCUUCCUAUGAAGCCUGCCAGUGACUCAGCUGUUUGGACAGCCAGUGGAAGUUCAUCCAACCGCCUGUAUGCCUUAAGGACAGGUUUCAUGCUUGAUGCCUUUCUUGUACCCCGAGAGAUGGUGGGUCCAGUCGAGUGUUUCAAAGGUUCGAAGGGAAUGUGAUGUCUUAUUCAGACUUCCUAACACCUUAGAUGAAAAUUCACACGUAAAAAAAUAUCCAAAAGAAAAAUUGCAACAAUAAAACAGAUGUGAACAUGACCAGCAGAAACCAUAUAAUGAGAUGCUGAGUUCCUUUCAGACCUCCAGAAAGCAAAGGACAAAUCUGACAUUGUACCAUUUGUAAUAUCUUGGCUGAGAGAGACAUUAUCCUUCCUACUUACAGGAAGAUGGGAAGAUCGUAACAGUAGACAGAGGAGAGAAUUAUGCUUAAUAUUUUCUUAAAGGAUAAGAGAGACUUUAUUUUCACAAAUGGCAGCACGUGAUGUUUAGACUACUGUACCUUACUACUAUUAAUCUUUUAGAAAUUCUAGUAGUGGAAUGAAUUGCAAAAGCAAACAACAAAAAAGUGAUAUGACCUAUACAAAUGUAACUAUAGAACUUAUUCAAUAGAAAUAAAGUAUUGUAUGCAA